AAAAUUCUUGAAACCCAAUUUAUUGUUGUAACCGUUGGAAUGUGAAAACAAUCAACAAUUAUUAUUACUUGAUUUAAUUUCAUUUGAAGCCAUUCGUUUGCCAAAUCUUUAAAACCCUUCAUAUCAUUAUUGUUUUCUUUAUUUAAUUUCUAUGUUUCUCUAGAAGCCAGCGACCAGUCAUCGCACAACCACCAUCAAAUGCCGCACACUGUUGAUUCUCCGCCAAGUCGGCUCUGGUGGAUAGAACGAACGACGAAACGAGACCUGCCGAGAUGCGUGACGUGACAACGGCAUCCUACAAUUUUGGAUCGCCAAGUUCGAAUUACCCUUUUCAUCAUAAUCGAUAGUGGCUGCCUUAAUUAAUUCUAGGGUUCUGGCGAAGCCUCGGUCAUAGCCGCCUCCGUCGUCGGAACUAAUAGUUUCCUUCAUGAGGUUUUUUUUUUUACUGUUUAUCGUUUUUAUUUUGACUUGAGAUGUUGAAGAAGAGAAGGAGUGCAAUGAAUGAUCCCUUGAAAGCGUGUCUCUAAAUCCUCUAUCACACAAAACAUGUUUAGUUCAUGUGGGAUUGGAAUUGCAUUCUUUCAUAUGAUCCUUGAUCUUCGCUCGCAAUUGUAAAUACGCUUACCGCCCGGUUAAAUGAUGGAAUUCCCUAAAUUGAUGAGAAAUGGGUGCUUCUCGGUUUCUGUAUAUACGCAGCUACACUGUAUCUGCAUUUUGCCACAUCAGUCAUUAUUCAUGAAAUAACAACAUCUCUUGGAAUCUACUGUUUUAGAUUCGGCUGAUCGGAAUCAAGGGUUUCAAAUAAAGUGGUGGAACUUGCAUUAGUUAAUAGACCACAGGUGAAUAUAGAUAUUGCCGGUUCUUCUAUUUUACUUCACCCUAGAGAAUUUGCAUUUGUUCACACUUGAAACAAUGCGGGUUUCAAUCAGAGUCAAAGUGGGAUUCAAGGAAACUUUGGGGGUGGCUUUUUGAGUCUUCGACUUGGAGGUAGUGAAGAACCGGUAUCUACUUCACCUUGCGUCAUGGAUUUAUAGCGGAUUGAAUCAAGGUGAUACUGCUCUUCCAUUAAAGGGUUGGCCUUUGAGUAUAAGACAACAUGGUUUGCAUUUCUUCCAUACAAUGUUAUAAUUUGAUUUCUAAAGAUGCUUGGUGUGAAUUUCCUUAACAGGGAAUGGACGAUUUACACCCUAAUAUAGGUUUGCAAGUACAAAAGCUCAAUAGGCAGAAUCAACAUCAGUUCUAUUUGCCUUGAAACAUGCCCAGGCCCAAGGUAAUAUUGUAACUUCACCAAAUUAUGGGCUUGUUGGAUUAUCUAGAGGCAGUCUAAGUAUGAAAGAUGGUCAAACCACAAGAAAUGAUGGAUCCCCUGGUCAAAUGAAUUCACCCCAGGUUAAGAUUUUCUUUUUAUGAUCUAAUUCUUGGUUCUCUGUGUUAUUAUAACAUCUCUCUUUUAUCUACACAAUCCCCAACAAGACCACUUUAAUCUGUACUUCUGUUCAAAUAUCUGGCUAUUGAGAAUAAGAGGGGUUCGUUUAUGUAGUACAAUAAUUAGGGCUUAAAAUAAGAUAUCAGUUACAACGGUUGAAUUAGCUGUGUGUGUAACUUAUUGCCAUCCGGGGUUAAGCCAACUUCACUUGGUUGUGUACGCUUGACUGCAAGCCUUGAUAUAGAGGCUGCAAAUUCGGUGGGUUUUGAUAACGGAUCAAAAAAGAAAGUUUUAGGAUGGAAAACAAAUUGUGUGGGUUCCAUGAGCUUCAUUUUGGUUUCCUCUAAAGAAGGCCUUUGUGCUGCAAAAGCAAAACUUCAUAGCUGUAGAGCAAAUAAGUGGUCAAUUGGACUAAAUUAACUUUAAAAGUAAAUUGAUAAAUAACUAGAGACAUGAACAAUUGUUAAGAGUCGAAUAAAGUAAUAAACUACUGGGAAUAUAAAAAGUCAAAGUUUUAAAGUAGGACAGGAACCAGUUCAUGUUUGUCAACUGUCCUGUUGUCUUCUUGUGACUUUUGAAACUUAGAUGUGGAUAUUUCUAUAACUUGAUCAACUAUAUAGACAGUUGCCCAAGAGUUUCAAUUGAAUAUCCAUAUGGAGCACCACCACAAGCUUACCAAAAAAAAGAAAUACGAUGUGCAGUAAUAGGUGUUUUUUUUUUUUUUUUU